rnacentral:rRNA from 1 species
CGUGUAGGCGGCCAAGCAGGUCCGUUGUGAAAACUGGAGGCUUAACCUCCAGACGUCGACGGAAACCGCGUGGCUAGAGUCCGGAAGAGGAGAGUGGAAUUCCUGGUGUAGCGGUGAAAUGCGCAGAUAUCAGGAAGAACACCAAUGGCGAAGGCAGCUCUCUGGGACGGUACUGACGCUGAGACGCGAAAGCGUGGGAACGAACA